GACGAACGCUGGCGGCGUGCUUAACACAUGCAAGUCGAACGGAAAGGCCCUGCUUUUGUGGGGUGCUCGAGUGGCGAACGGGUGAGUAACACGUGAGUAACCUGCCCUUGACUUUGGGAUAACUUCAGGAAACUGGGGCUAAUACCGGAUAGGAGCUCCUGCUGCAUGGUGGGGGUUGGAAAGUUUCGGCGGUUGGGGAUGGACUCGCGGCUUAUCAGCUUGUUGGUGGGGUAGUGGCUUACCAAGGCUUUGACGGGUAGCCGGCCUGAGAGGGUGACCGGGCCAAUGGGCAUAGGGUAACGGGCCGUAGCCAAUCGGGAGGGAGGGGGGGGGAAAUUAGCCAGAGGGGGGGAGGCCUGGGGGAGGAUGCCGGGGGGGGGGAUGUCGGCCUUCGGGUGUAAACACCUUUGCCCCUGGGCAGGGGGGGGGGGAGGGUAAGUGGGGAAGAAGCCACGGCUAACUACGUG
rnacentral:rRNA from 1 species